rnacentral:rRNA from 1 species
ACUCCAGACUCCUACGGGAGGCAGCAGUGGGGGAUAUUGCACAAUGGAGGAAACUCUGAUGCAGCGACGCCGCGUGAGGGAAGACGGUCUUCGGAUUGUAAACCUCUGUCUUUGGGGAAGAAAAUGACGGUACCCAAAGAGGAAGCUCCGGCUAACUACGUGCCAGCAGCCGCGGUAAUACGUAGGGGGCAAGCGUUAUCCGGAUUUACUGGGUGUAAAGGGAGCGUAGACGGCAGGGCAAGUCUGGAGUGAAAGGCAGGGGCCCAACCCCUGGACUGCUUUGGAAACUGUGUAACUAGAGUACAGGAGGGGCAGGCGGAAUUCCUGGUGUAGCGGUGAAAUGCGUAGAUAUCAGGAGGAACACCGGCGGCGAAGGCGGCCUGCUGGACUGAAACUGACGUUGAGGCUCGAAAGCGUGGGGAGCAAACAGGAUUAGAUACCCUUGUAGA